AGUGAACGCUGGCGGUAGGCCUAACACAUGCAAGUCGAACGGCAGCACAGUAAGAGCUUGCUCUUACGGGUGGCGAGUGGCGGACGGGUGAGGAAUACAUCGGAAUCUACUUUUUCGUGGGGGAUAACGUAGGGAAACUUACGCUAAUACCGCAUACGACCUACGGGUGAAAGCAGGGGAUCUUCGGACCUUGCGCGAUUGAAUGAGCCGAUGUCGGAUUAGCUAGUUGGCGGGGUAAAGGCCCACCAAGGCGACGAUCCGCAGCUGGUCUGAGAGGAUGAUCAGCCACACUGGAACUGAGACACGGUCCAGACUCCUACGGGAGGCAGCAGUGGGGAAUAUUGGACAAUGGGCGCAAGCCUGAUCCAGCCAUACCGCGUGGGUGAAGAAGGCCUUCGGGUUGUAAAGCCCUUCUGUUGGGAAAGAAAAGCAGCAGGUUAAUACCCCGCUGUUCUGACGGUACCCAAAGAAUAAGCACCGGCUAACUUCGUG
rnacentral:rRNA from 1 species